rnacentral:rRNA from 1 species
CCCCUCUAGUGACGCGGCGGCAGGCUUAACACAUGCAAGUCGAGCGGGGAAAGUUAGUUUGGUAAUUGACCUAGCGGCGGACGGGUGAGUAAUGCUUAGGAAUCUGCCUAUUAGUGGGGGACAACAUCUCGAAAGGGAUGCUAAUACCGCAUACGUCCUACGGGAGAAAGCAGGGGACCUUCGGGCCUUGCGCUAAUAGAUGAGCCUAAGUCGGAUUAGCUAGUUGGUGGGGUAAAGGCCUACCAAGGCGACGAUCUGUAGCGGGUCUGAGAGGAUGAUCCGCCACACUGGGACUGAGACACGGCCCAGACUCCUACGGGAGGCAGCAGUGGGGAAUAUUGGACAAUGGGGGGAACCCUGAUCCAGCCAUGCCGCGUGUGUGAAGAAGGCCUUUUGGUUGUAAAGCACUUUAAGCGAGGAGGAGGCUACCGAGAUUAAUACUCUUGGAUAGUGGACGUUACUCGCAGAAUAAGCACCGGCUAACUCUGUGCCAGCAGCCGCGGUAAUACAGAGGGUGCAAGCGUUAAUCGGAUUUACUGGGCGUAAAGCGCGCGUAGGUGGCCAAUUAAGUCAAAUGUGAAAUCCCCGAGCUUAACUUGGGAAUUGCAUUCGAUACUGGUUGGCUAGAGUAUGGGAGAGGAUGGUAGAAUUCCAGGUGUAGCGGUGAAAUGCGUAGAGAUCUGGAGGAAUACCGAUGGCGAAGGCAGCCAUCUGGCCUAAUACUGACACUGAGGUGCGAAAGCAUGGGGAGCAAACAGGAUUAGAUACCCUGGUAGUCCAUGCCGUAAACGAUGUCUACUAGCCGUUGGGGCCUUUGAGGCUUUAGUGGCGCAGCUAACGCGAUAAGUAGACCGCCUGGGGAGUACGGUCGCAAGACUAAAACUCAAAUGAAUUGACGGGGGCCCGCACAAGCGGUGGAGCAUGUGGUUUAAUUCGAUGCAACGCGAAGAACCUUACCUGGUCUUGACAUAGUAAGAACUUUCCCAGAGAUGGAUUGGUGCCUUCGGGACUUCCUACA